rnacentral:lncRNA from 1 species
GAGAAGCACCAGAUCUUGCUCUUGAGCAAACAGAGACCUCUUCUGCAAGCCCAUGGGUAUUUGUGUGAGCUGCACAAUAUGGCACUGACUCCCAUGGGCUACCAUAAUUUAUCCUUGUAUAUGAAGCGCAUUCUUGCUGAACAGAGAAUAGCCAGAAAAGGACCUUUCUUAUCAAGAGAGUACUUGUAUCCUGUCUUUGGGCAGCUGACAUCACUCC